AACGCUGGCGGCGUGCUUAACACAUGCCAAGUCGAACGGAGUUUACAUGUGAGCGGAGGGUGCUUGCAUCUAACAAUCUUUUGUAAACUUAGUGGCGGACGGGUGAGUAACGCGUGGGUAACCUGCCGUAUGCAGGGGGACAACAGCUGGAAACGGCUGCUAAUACCGCAUAAGCGCACAGUACUGCAUGGUACAGUGUGAAAAGUUCUGGCGGCAUACGAUGGACCCGCGUCUGAUUAGCUAGUUGGUGAGGUAACAGCCCACCAAGGCGACGAUCAGUAGCCGGCCUGAGAGGGUGAACGGCCACAUUGGGACUGAGACACGGCCCAAACUCCUACGGGAGGCAGCAGUGGGGAAUGUUGGACAAUGGGGGAAACCCUGAUCCAGCGACGCCGCGUGAGUGAAGAAGUAUUUCGGUAUGUAAAGCUCUAUCAGCAGGGAAGAAAAUGACGGUACCUGACUAAGAAGCCCCGGCUAACUACGUGCCAGCAGCCGCGGUAAUACGUAGGGGGCAAGCGUUAUCCGGAUUUACUGGGUGUAAAGGGAGCGUAGACGGUUUAGUAAGUCUGAAGUGAAAGCCCGGGGCUCAACUCCGGGACUGCUUUGGAAACUAUUAAACUAGAGUGCAGGAGAGGUAAGUGGAAUUCCUAGUGUAGCGGUGAAAUGCGUAGAUAUUAGGAGGAACACCAGUGGCGAAGGCGGCUUACUGGACUGUAACUGACGUUGAGGCUCGAAAGCGUGGGGAGCAAACAGGAUUAGAUACCCUGGUAGUCCACGCCGUAAACGAUGAUUACUAGGUGUUGGUGGUUAUGAACCAUCGGUGCCGCAGCUAACGCAAUAAGUAAUCCACCUGGGGAGUACGUUCCCAAGAAUGAAACUCAAAUGAAUUGACGG
rnacentral:rRNA from 1 species